rnacentral:lncRNA from 1 species
AGCUUCAACUGCAGAGCUAAGAACUAAAGGGAGGCUCCCGGUCAGGGUGGCGGGCGGGGGCGUGUUGGGCAGAGGCGACUGCAGACUUCCUAAAGCUAAAAAUCGGGAGAGAAGGCAAGGGCGUUGAACUCUGAUUCAUGUCCAUCGCUCCGCUUUUGGGGUUCCUUCGAACCGGGCCGCCCCGACUAGAAAUUCCCAGGGCGAAUUUGAUGCUUCCGAGGCUGAGAGAUGCUAAGCAGCGUUCGCAGACGUCUUCCAGGCUAACACAAGCGCCAAAUAAUUGAGACAACCCACAAACUCCAGCUCGGCCGCCACCGCAGGAAAGUAAACUAGUAGUUACACAUUUUAAGGAGGCACGUGUCUCGGAGUCAUGCAGGGGCAGGAUCUGGCCCGGAGAGUGCAUGUCUCCUUAAAUGUUGCACCCACUCGUUCGCUUGGCCGCCUCCACAGUCCUAGUCUUGACUAGGAGAGUGGGACUUCAAAAGUAGGAACUUUCCAUUCCUUGCAGGAUGCUUGCCUCCUCUGUAUGGAAACUUGCGAGUCCUCUAGUUUUGUGAAGGUAAUAAUAAUCUCUUCUCAUUUGAAGAUCAGAAAUUAAGAUAUAUCGAAGGCAAUUAAGGAUGUGGUUCUAGUAAGUGCAAAGAUUUAAUAAGCAAACUACCGCCUGCAGGCUCGGGAUUUGAUCUUAAUAAAGUGUAUAACCGACUCUACUGA